rnacentral:rRNA from 1 species
CCUACGGGAGGCAGCAGUGAGGAAUAUUGGUCAAUGGCCGGAAGGCUGAACCAGCCAAGCCGCGUGAAGGACGAAGGUGCCAAGCAUUGUAAACCUCUUUUGUCGGGGAGUAAAGCGAGUCACGUGUGACUCAUUGAGAGUACUCGAAGAAAAAGCAUCGGCUAACUCCGUGCCAGCAGCCGCGGUAAUACGGGGGAUGCGGGCGUUAUCCGGUUUUAUUGGGUUUAAAGGGUGCGUAGGGGGAGGUGCAAGUCAGCGGUCAAAUUGGGGGGCUCAACCCCGAAUUGCAGUUGAAACUGGAUGCCUUGAGUGCAGUAGAAGUAGGCGGAAUGCGUGGUGUAGCGGUGAAAUGCAUAGAUAUCACGAAGAACUCCGAUUGCGAAGGCAGCAUAC